AUGCCAGGAGAAUGGAGACAGAGUAUAUUAGUACCAAUCUUCAAGAACAAGGGGGAUGUUCAGAGUUGUACUAAUUACCAUGGAAUUAAGCUGAUGAGCCAUACAAUGAAGCUAUGGGAGAGAGUGAUUGAGCACCGCUUAAGAAGAAUGACAAGCGUGACCAAAAAUCAGUUCGGUUUCAUGCCUGGGAGGUCGACCAUGGAAGCCAUUUUCGUGGUACGACAACUUAUGGAGAGAUAUAGGGAGCAAAAGAAGGACUUGCAUAUGGUGUUCAUUGACUUGGAGAAGGCCUAUGAUAAGAUACCGCGGAAUGUCAUGUGGUGGGCCUUGGAGAAACACAAAGUCCCAGCAAAGUACAUUACCCUCAUCAAGGACAUGUACGAUAAUGUUGUGACAAGUGUUCGAACAAGUGAUGUCGACACCGAUGACUUCCCGAUUAAGAUAGGACUGCAUCAGGGGCCAGCUUUGUGCCCUUAUCUUUUUUCAUUGGUGAUGGAUGAGGUCACAAGGGAUAUACAAGGAGAUAUCCCAUGGUGUAUGCUCUUUGCGGAUGAUGUGGUGCUAGUUGACGAUAGUCGGACGGGGGGUAAAUAG
rnacentral:rRNA from 1 species